AGCUGUUGUGUGUGAUUUUGCCAACUGCUCGACAAAAGAAUGAAAGACAGGUGCAAAAAUCAAUCCUCUUUUGCCACCCAGAACCCAUUGUUCAGUAGGAAUUUUGAUACAUAUAAAAAGGAAUAUG